AACGAACGCUGGCGGCGUGCCUAACACAUGCAAGUCGAGCGGGAAAGUUCCCUUCGGGGAGCGAGUACAGCGGCGAACGGGUGAGUAACACGUAGGUAACCUACCCUGGAGUCCGGGAUAACCUGCCGAAAGGCGGGCUAAUACCAGAUAAGACCACGAGGGCUGCGGCCCUUGGGGCAAAAGAUGGCCUCUGCUUGCAUGCUAUCACUCCGGGAUGGGCCUGCGCGCCAUUAGCUAGUUGGUGGGGUAACGGCUCACCAAGGCUGAGAUGGCUAGCUGGUCUGAGAGGAUGGCCAGCCACACUGGGACUGAGACACGG
rnacentral:rRNA from 1 species